GUCCACGCCAUAAACGAUGGAUACUUGUUGUUAGAGGUAUUGACCCCUCUAGUGACGUAGCUAACGCGUUAAGUAUCCGCCUGGGAGUACGGUCGCAAGAUUAAACUACAAGAAAUUGACGGGGCCCGGCACAAGCGGUGGAGCAUGUGGUUUAAUUCGAUGCAACGCGAAGAACCUUACCUAGGCUUGACAUGGACUGGAAGACUGGCAGAAAUGUCGUCGCUCGCAAGAGUCGGUUCACAGGUGCUGCAUGGCUGUCGU
rnacentral:rRNA from 1 species